CGUCUCGAGAGAGAGAAAAUCUCCUAUUUCAUAUAAAGUAGAGUAUCCUUGACUCACAACCGAUGUGAGAUUAAAUUCUUCACAGCAGUUAGUAUACAAAUAGAAUAUGAAUUGAUUUGAAUCAAAACUGUUUACAUUAUAAUUUAUUUUAAAAUAAAACAAGGAUAAAGGACAUAUGAAUCAUAGAUACACACGCAUACUAAUUAAAUAUGUAUUGGAAUUGAGCAAAAACUUUUGCUAUAUUUUUGCAUUCAUUGAUGAUAUACACACAUACACAUGCAC
rnacentral:lncRNA from 1 species